UGUAACGUAAUGUGUGACAAUUAACGUUAUAUUGAUAUUAAAUUAGCUGUUUUCUAUCAGGUUAAGAAUAACUGUGAUCAUAUUAUAAUGAAGUAAUCGAAUUUGGUUAUCUGGUCUUCCUGAUGUUAGAACAUUUAUAUAAAAAACAUAUUUAAAAAUGUAUUUCUGUAACGUUUAAUUUCCUUUUUUGAUGAAAGUGUGUCUGUGUUCAUCAAGACAUGAAGACUCUGGAGUGGGACAAGAGAAGGAUGAUGGGGUGUAUAUUCCAAUAGACACAUUAAGUCACAUUGUGAUUUCAGUGAAAGCUGAUAAAUACAGAGGGCUGGACAGUGGUUUCAUUCAUUAGGUAAAGAGGUGGGACAAGGAUGCUGACAGGACAGGAGGAGGUGACAUUCAGACAUUCAACGCAGACAUUUUCUUCCAAAGCAACUUGAGGAAGAAAACAGAAGCAGUUCAUCCUAAAAGUGGGCUGCUGUAAUGUUUACAUCUAUGGAAAGAGGAGCUGAGAAGAAAAGAGAGGCUGGAAAGCAGUACUUCUUGUUGAGGACAAUCCUAAAUAGGAAAACUUUCUCAUACACAUAGAUUAUUAUUAGUGUUUGAUUGUUUGUUUCAUUUUUAUGAAUUGUAUUGUUUUAAUUUUUCGUUUUAUUUUAAGUUACCUAAGUUAGAUUCAUGCUAAUACUUUAACUGGACCUUGUAUCUUUGCUGGCUGGCUGGCUGUAGAGUUGGUUUCACAUACACAUGAAGUUUCUAAUUAACUAACUUUUAAGUUCAGUUUGGUUAAAACUUGUAUUUACCCAUGGUAAUUCAUUUAAAUUUCUAUUCAUGCUUAUAUAUUAAUUUCAAUGAACUUCUGUAUUUGUGUAUAGCUGGCAAUUUGGGCAAGCUACGUUUAACACACAAAUGUAACUGUCACAAAGGUUUUUUUUAUUAUCAGUUUGUUCUAAACUUUUUUCCUAGUACUUUUGUUUAUUGCUGGCAGUUUAUACUAGAAGAGUUUUAACACAUACAAUGUUGUAGUGUUAUUGACUUGUGUGCUAUUGAUUAAUAAAAAGGCAAACAAUUUGAAAGUAAUUUUUCGUGUGAUUUAUUUAUUAAUAUAAUUUGGGCAAGAUUAGGCUGAGUUAUGGCUCAGUUUUGGAAGUUCUGGUUAAAUGCUGGUUUUAAUAUGGUUGACCUAUGGCUGAGAACUGGU